rnacentral:misc_RNA from 1 species
UAUCAACCCUCAAGCCCGGCUUGGCGUUGGGUCCCGUCGCGGCGUCCGCCCCGACGAACCCCAAAGAUAAUGGCAGAGCCCGUGUGGACCCUGGAUGCAGCGAGCUCUCUGGCACGCGUCGCGGUGGUCCUCCGGCUCGGUCUUAACCGUCACAUUCACUGGUUGACCUCGGAUCAGGUAGGGAUACCCGCUGAACUUAA